CCCACUAUCUGCGGUUCACCACAGACCGAUGACCUACGACAGCCAGCACCAAACAGCAAAGCUGCAGCUUUCAGGGCUUGCCAUAGCCAAAGUCAGCUUCAAGCACAUAAAACAUGACUCUUGUCGUCCCAUGACUGCGAUGUUUCAGCUACCAUGACUAGCACGGUACUCCUUCAUCCUGGCUGCGUCUUUCAUCCUGGCUGCAUCUUUUCACCUGAAGUACCAAGAUCUGGAGUUCCCAGGAAUACCUGUGUGUGCAAGAAAAAUUCUGGCAAAGUCCUUAAAACAUAUGAGAUUGCAGAGGGAGGGAGGUGAGAGAGUGGUUGCCUGCCUGCCUGCCUGCCUGCCUAACCAACCAACCAACCAUGAAGAAACUGUGAGACCUUACUUUUAUUUUAACUUGCUUAGCUUCUUGCUUAAGGUAUGCACUUGAUUUUUGUAGGAUAGGCUAAAUAUUUGUCAACUUACUUUCUUCUUCACUGUGUAAUUUGCUUCUGGUAUUAGCUCUGUACUACCAGCAAUACAACCACGGAGAAAUGGAAACUUUCCCAUUAAGAUGCUUUUAGGGAAAAGGACUUUUUUUCCCAUAGCGAAAGAAAAAUGAUUCUGUCUGUUAGGCUGUACCUAUUGUAAGGCUAAAGCUUCUAAUAAGAACCUGAAAUAAGACUCAUGUCACAUGUAUUAACAGCUAGUUACUCUUACUAGAUCGUAAGUGUUUUCAGUGGCUACCUAAAAGAUGAAUUCAAAUUAGGAACAACAAUCAUAAGAUUUUUGUUCAUAAUCUGUCUCCUAAAUCAUCCAGUUUGACCCAGAUUAUGGUAUAUCACUUUAAUCCUUUGCUUGCGUAAUGCUUACAGAAAACUCUGUUUCCUGUAACAAUUACAUACUCAAUAGCUAAAGGAAGCGACACCUCUACGACACCUCUACAACACCUCAAUUUCAGUUAAGCAUUUGGCCUCAGGUUCUUCUUCCUUAGCAACUAAAAUCCUACACAUUGUUUUUGUUUGUUUCACUAGAGCAGAACUGGAUAAUGUGCACUCACAUUUCAUUUGGGGAAAAAAAAACACAAGCUGCACUAAAUAUGUUCAUGUAAUUGAAAGCUGAAUACAGUUUUAUGAUUUAAUGUCAUUAACAAAGAGAAAAGCAAGGUAUCUAGUAACAAAGUACCUCAGAAGUCAAUUGCAAUAUUUUAUACUGCCCUGUAAUUUAUUUGCAGAAAUUUGUAUUAUGCAUUCUUGAGGAAAAACAAGAAAUGUGACUACACAUCAACAUGAUUUAAUUAUCUUUAAUUUAUUCUAAAUUAGAAAAGUAAUAUAAUUGUGAUUGCUAAAAUACACUUGUCGUAUAUUGGAUUUACUGCAACAAAGUCAGUUUGUAUCAAUGUUUUGAUUUUGGAGCUUUUAUCUAGUAUUACAGGUAUUACAAUGAUGAGUAAUUCAAGUCAACAAUCCAAAUGUUGGCUUACAAUCAGAACAAGAUUACAAGAUUUUAAAACAAGAUUUUUUUUUAAAAAAUCUGCCCUUCAGGGGCUUUAUUUGCUGUGAAAAAGGCAUGAAAAGGAUGAAUAUUUAGCUAACGCAUCAUACCUACAGGUAGGGUGGGUUGGCAUUUCCACUCCAGAAUCCUAAACUUACCAGGUAAUCAGGACUUUCCAGGCCAGAUGGUCAUGUCAUGAUCAAUUUCUUUACCUUUUUAAAACAUUUUUAAGUAUUUCAGCAAAAUGGUGUAAUCACUGCCAUGAAUGCAAAGAACAUAACAAUGUUCUAAUCUCACACAAACAGUCAGAAGAAUUAACCUAAAAAUCAUAUUAAUAAGAAACUCUUACUUUUUCUUUUUUAGUAUAGGUCCUUAAAAUUAUGUAACAGAACAGGUUGUCUCCUGGUGUUGAAGUGCUCCGUCUUUGUUUCAGUGACAAUCUGAAACACACACUUCUGAAAACUGCAUUAUGGAUUUAUGCAGCUAAAUUCUCCAAAGAUUCCAUCUUUCCUGUGCCUUUUCCAUUCCCACACGGCAGUUCUGUGCCAGCUGGAUUAAUUCAUUAUUCCUGUGUAGAAACUCAGCACAUCCUGGUCUAAGCCUCCUCAGCAUGAGCAGAACCUCGCCUGUCAUUCCUUCCUGCAGCAGAGAAGCAGCAUCAUGCCACAAGCAUAGCUGAGAGCAGUGAGCUGCUCAGUUACCUUGGUAAUCUGGAGAGGAAGAAAACACCAGAAAUGACCAAAUCCUGAAGAGAACUGGGGUGGAAAUCUGCAAGGAAACAGACAUGGGAAAGUAGGACGGGGGAAAUAAGACGGGUGAGGGAAAGAAGGAAUGAUCUGUUGCAGAAGAACUAUGGUUCAUCUCGUCCUCAUGCCAGCCAAGUUAACUACCCAGCAGUGACAUGUGAAAGGCAAAGGGAAUUUCAUUUAACUAAAAAAAAAAAAAGUCAGAACUGACUAAGACUUGAAUUCCAGCUCACAGAUGCAGCAAGUCUUCUAAGGACAUUGACAGCUGACAGACAGUCAAUUCCUGUCUUUCUCAACAGUCCUGCAGCACUUAACACUCUUGACUGCAGAUACUGUGGUCCUAAACUGUGAAUUUAAAGGGAUAUUUAAAGGAGAUUCAUGUUAAAGGGCCAAGCCAGUAAGUACUGGUUAGGAAAUGUUAUAUUCAUUGUCAGAUCUAUCAUAACAAGAGAGUCAUGCAUCCAUUAAGUGAAACAAACAACUAAGACUGAAGUGCCAAAAAUACAGCGUUGUAUUCCUUCUACUUUAUAACCACGCAGCUUCAUUUUCACCUUUUCAGAUGCCAGGCUCAACACCCUAUUUCUAUAUGUCUUUUAUAUACUUGCAUAAAUACUUUACACACAACUCUAUUAAUGUUGGCUUUCUUAUGACUGCCAGUAUUACCACCCACCUUCUCACCAUCUGAGAGUUUUACAAAUAUUUAUGAACAUUUAUCAGAUUCCUAUGAAAUACUGGUAUUUUAUUAUCCACCUACUACAAGGAUCCCCAGUUCCCUGAAGUAGGGAGAUGCUGUGGCAGAUAUAUCCACUGAUUCUGGAUGCACCUUUUCUUGGAGCCUUUGUGUUUCUUCUAAAUUUAUGUACAAACAGAAAACCUAUUGACUUAUAUUACAUCACUCUGUUCUGACCUUUUGCAUUUCAAGCCCUUUGUGCCUGAAGGGUGGUAAAAAGUACAGCACAAAAUGAACGAUCACCUGUGAAGAGAUGGGUGGAGGAAGUCUGGAAUCUGAUCCUGCACAGGAAAGCCUUUAGGAGCUUUGCCAUUGACUUCAGUGAUGUUGGUGAUGGCAGAGACUGAAAAUAAUCCAAGAGCAAAUUUUCCUUCCUUCUGUAACAGAACUGUUUAUGCUGAAUAUAAGUAUCAGCAUAUGAGAUAUCAACAAGAUAAAUCCAACAAGAUAAAACAAGAAAACAAGCUAAAAUAGGGAUUCAAUGAAGCACAACAUAGUCAUCUUUGAAAGUGUGGUAUAGGACUACAAUAGGCAUGCAAGAAGUGUUUAAAAGAUGGAAUACUCAAAUCACCCAAAUCAAAUAUUUGAAUAGAUUCAGGAGUGGAAAUGGAAAGGUGGAAAGAAGAAAAUAUUUGAUUUGAGAUUGUACCUCUGGAUUCCAGCCAAGACACUAAUAGUUUGGAUUUACCUAUCAUUCCUUAACAGGAAAAAAUAAAAAGAAAAAAAAAUAGAUGUUAUAACUGACUGGUGUACGUGUAGGACAUUCACAGAAGUAGAAAAAUGAAAGAAUUUGUAAGCUCCUCUAGGAGGCUUAUUGCCCCUUUCUGAAAUCUGAGUUUUGCUUCAAGGAUAUGAAUAGAAUAACACACAUAGGAAAAUGCCAUAACUUUUUGUCCAUUUUUUAUUAAUUACAGAACAUAAAAGAAUUUGUUUUUCUAUUCUCUAAGAAGCCUGUGACAUUAAAGGGACGUGUCAAAUAAAUUUCACGCUCCUCUUUAGUAGAGAUAAACAAUAACCCGGAGGUUAAAUGAGUAAGAAUCCCCAGUCCCCUUCCACCUCUCAUACAGAGCCAUUUUCUGCUGGAAAACAAAAAAUUACUUUCUCCUGGAACUGAAUCAGAAGGCAGACCCGUCAUUCAGUAGCCAACAUAUGAUUCAGCUCAGCUUUUCAAUAAGUUAUAAAGUCCAAAAGCCACCAAAAAAGGGUUUUUGAAUUAGAGGGCUGCCUCGUUUUAACUCUUCUGAAAUGCUUGCUGAGCACUCCUGUGAAUCAUGCCUGCUGCAAGAGGAGCACCUCUGAGUUAAGAAAGCAGUGACUGUCGGUGACAGCGGGCAAGCAGACACUCCCUCUAUCGAGGGACAGCCUUUAUUCAACUGAAAGGUAGGACAAACAUGAAUUCCUGUAGCUGGACACUGUAAAGGUACUAGAUCCAUAAUUAAAAUACAUAGCAGUGACAACCCUCCCCCAGCAAUAUUAUUUUUAAAGAAGGAAAUCCAACACAGUCUUUUCUAAAGAGAAAAAUAACUAAGUUUAUUACAUCAAACAAGAUGCUUCAUAAAAUAUGUUGGUUUUUGCUUAGAUUUUAUGAUUAUGCUAGUAUGCAUUGAAAAAUUGAGUAAUACACAUUACUGCAAGUUGGAAAAAGACAUUCCAUUCAAGUCUCGGGAAAUGAUACAAACGUUAAAAUAGCAAUAAGUAUUCCACUCGUGCUACAUUCAGUGCUGGAAUUGCAGAACGAUUUAGUGAUGUUCAAUGUUUUUUCAUUUCUUCAAAUGUUUUUCAUAUUCUUUCACAUAAUGUACAAAUCAGAAAACUACUUCUGCUGUUAAUUAGCUCGUUUCCAAAGGGAUGCAUUUUAAACGGGAGAUUUUGUUCUACUUGUUAAGCCAAUUCAAAAAAGUACUACUACUUGUCUUCCAGAUAAAUCAUGUUAUAUUUUUACUAGCCUGAUCAUUUAACAGAUUACUAACAAUGAAUAUUUACUAUGUGUUUAAAAGUCCUGUUUAAAAUAAUCCAGAGCAGCCUUGUAACACUUACAGUAGCAGCUUGCAAAACUGCUUGAGCUUAACAAAAAAGUGUAUUGCACAAAUGUAAUGAAAAAUUAGGCUUAAAACAAAUACCUUUUUAUAUUUAUUUCUUUUGUCUGUUUUGGUGGUUGCUUUUAUUGUUUAAAUGCUUUGGAAAUGCUGCUACAUGAAAAAAGUGGAAUAGCUUACAAAAAUGACUUUUUUUGGAAGCCGCUUAUCACAGCAUUAAAAUUGAGGCUGCAUUGAAAACUGUCUUUAUUUUUUACUUUAAACAUGAUUUGAACUGAUAACUGGCAUACCAGUUCUUUUUGUUGUUGUUGUUGUUUUUCCCUUUUUGUUACAUUCCAGGAUUUCCUCUAAAUUGAUUUGGCUGGGUUUUGGCCA